AGAUCGCGGCCGCAGCCGCCUAGGUGGCGGCCGCUCAUGUGCCCCCUCCAGGGGGU
rnacentral:antisense_RNA from 16 species